rnacentral:tRNA from 1 species
GAGGGCAUAGCUCAGGGGUGGAGCAUGUGCUUAGCAUGCACGAGGUCCUGGGUUCGGUCCCCAUUACCUCCA